GACGAACGCUGGCGGCGUGCCUAAUACAUGCAAGUAGAACGCUGAAGAGAGGAGCUUGCUCUUCUUGGAUGAGUUGCGAACGGGUGAGUAACGCGUAGGUAACCUGCCUUGUAGCGGGGGAUAACUAUUGGAAACGAUAGCUAAUACCGCAUAACAAUGGAUGACACAUGUCAUUUAUUUGAAAGGGGCAAUUGCUCCACUACAAGAUGGACCUGCGUUGUAUUAGCUAGUAGGUGAGGUAAUGGCUCACCUAGGCGACGAUACAUAGCCGACCUGAGAGGGUGAUCGGCCACACUGGGACUGAGACACGGCCCAGACUCCUACGGGAGGCAGCAGUAGGGAAUCUUCGGCAAUGGGGGCAACCCUGACCGAGCAACGCCGCGUGAGUGAAGAAGGUUUUCGGAUCGUAAAGCUCUGUUGUAAGUCAAGAACGGGUGUGAGAGUGGAAAGUUCACACUGUGACGGUAGCUUACCAGAUAGGGACGGCUAACUACGUGCCAGCAGCCGCGGUAAUACGUAGGUCCCCAACGUUGUCCGGAUUUAUUGGGCGUAAAGCGAGCGCAGGCGGUUUGAUAAGUCUGAAGUUAAGGCUGUGGCUCAACCAUAGUUCGCUUUGGAAACUGUCAAACUUGAGUGCAGAAGGGGAGAGUGGAAUUCCAUGUGUAGCGGUGAAAUGCGUAGAUAUAUGGAGGAACACCGGUGGCGAAAGCGGCUCUCUGGUCUGUAACUGACGCUGAGGCUCGAAAGCGUGGGGAGCGAACAGGAUUAGAUACCCUGGUAGUCCACGCCGUAAACGAUGAGUGCUAGGUGUUGGAUCCUUUCCGGGAUUCAGUGCCGCAGCUAACGCAUUAAGCACUCCGCCUGGGGAGUACGACCGCAAGGUUGAAACUCAAAGGAAUUGACGGGGGCCCGCACAAGCGGUGGAGCAUGUGGUUUAAUUCGAAGCAACGCGAAGAACCUUACCAGGUCUUGACAUCCCGAUGCUAUUUCUAGAGAUAGAAAGUUACUUCGGUACAUCGGUGACAGGUGGUGCAUGGUUGUCGUCAGCUCGUGUCGUGAGAUGUUGGGUUAAGUCCCGCAACGAGCGCAACCCCUAUUGUUAGUUGCCAUCAUUCAGUUGGGCACUCUAGCGAGACUGCCGGUAAUAAACCGGAGGAAGGUGGGGAUGACGUCAAAUCAUCAUGCCCCUUAUGACCUGGGCUACACACGUGCUACAAUGGUUGGUACAACGAGUUGCGAGUCGGUGACGGCGAGCUAAUCUCUUAAAGCCAAUCUCAGUUCGGAUUGUAGGCUGCAACUCGCCUACAUGAAGUCGGAAUCGCUAGUAAUCGCGGAUCAGCACGCCGCGGUGAAUACGUUCCCGGGCCU
rnacentral:rRNA from 1 species